rnacentral:rRNA from 1 species
GACGAACGCUGGCGGCGUGCUUAACACAUGCAAGUCGAACGAUGAAGAAGAGCUUGCUCUUCGGAUAGUGGCGAACGGGUGAGUAACACGUGACUAACCUGCCCCUUUCUCUGGGAUAACGCUCCGAAAGGAGUGCUAAUACCGGAUACUCACAUCGAGGCACAUGCCUUGAUGUGGAAAGUUUUUCGGAAAGGGAUGGAGUCGCGGCCUAUCAGCUUGUUGGUGAGGUAACGGCUCACCAAGGCGACGACGGGUAGCCGGCCUGAGAGGGCGACCGGCCACACUGGGAAUGAGACACGGCCCAGACUCCUACGGGAGGCAGCAGUGGGGAAUAUUGCACAAUGGGCGAAAGCCUGAUGCAGCGACGCCGCGUGAGGGAUGAAGGUCUUCGGAUUGUAAACCUCUUUCAGUAGGGACGAAGCGAAAGUGACGGUACCUAAAGAAGAAGCACCGGCUAACUACGUGCCAGCAGCCGCCGUAA